UAAUUAUAUAACAUUUGACUUCCCCAUUGCUGUCGAAUGUGUGUAGCUAUAGCUGUAAUGACUUCUGCAGAAAAUCGUGGAUUUACGUCGAAAAUCUCACCGUUAUCACCACCGUGUGCAGUCCUAAUGUUGUUGUUGCUUCUCGCAAUGGCUUGGCGAUCUGAAUUCUGGAAGACGUGCCCAAAUGCAUUGGAACGGCAAUGAUAAGUCGGAUAAGAAGUAAAUUUUGGUCACGACCCUUUUUUUUUAGUCAGGAAUAAAAUCAAAACAAGAUUCGAAACUAAUUGCUACCGAAAAGUGGCCGACCUGAUUGUUCGUAAAGUGUGGGGAAACAAACACCACAGUUUGAACUUCUUCUAGCGAAUAGCGAGAUAAACAUUCCACAAAAACAAAUAGAAAAUGCGAAUCGUCGUCGGGGAGAAAGUAAAAAUGGUCCAAAUAGUUUUGGAAUCCGUUUGGCGAAUCCUGUAGAACAAGAUCAUCUCAUCGCUUUAUUGAAAGAAGAAAAUAAAAGACAAAACAGUUGAAAUACUAUGUUUAGCGCAUGCGAUAACCAAACCAUCAGUCAGCAUCGAUUACUAAACGAAGGGCGACGAAGGGCUCGACGAAGGGUCACGAGCAUUUGUAAGGUUGGCUGGGCAAUCCUCUCCAGAAAUUCAACCGAUAGCUAUUUAUUUCGCACGAUUAUUUCGGUGAACUAUGGGAACACGAAGUGAUUGGAUCAGUGGUUCGAUUUAAAAAUAUUAUUCUAGCAGGAAAAAUACGAGGAUGAUCAGUUUGAUAAUCUUCCCUGUUCUGGGUGUUGAAAUUGCCAAACGGUGGCAACGACUGGACAACUAAUUAACAAGAACGUUUUGUUUUCAGCCUGUUACAAUUGGUUGAAAGGUCAACACAUAAUUCGGUCAUUUGCGCGUCUCGUUUUGAAUCGAAUUCGGUGUAAUCGUUCAGGAGAUUAAAACUGUUAAAUACUAAUUCAAUUCAGAAGAACAAAAGAGCUUGAUAAGAGUUUUUAAAUGACGGAUAAGUGGAUUAGGUUAAAUACCUGCUACUAUUUAUCACGCUACAGAACAUAACCGGGAACGCUGCGCCGCCUACAUUCACAUUUUCAGUAUCACGGUACACUAAAGGAAAAAGAGCAGUCGACACUAGAUGUCGUUCAGUGCCUUGCGUGAAAAAGGUUGGAGAAGCGGAAGCUUGUUAUUCAAAUGCCUCGCCUCAUUCAACAGUAGUAAACUUUUA